CWUARAGUYUGAUCCUGGCUCAKAACKWRYGCUGGCGGCGUGCUUAACACAUGCAAGUCGAACGUGAUCCGGAGCUUGCUCCGGUGAAAGUGGCGCACGGGUGAGUAACGCGUGGAUAACCUGCCCUGGUAUCUGGGAUAACAUCUCGAARGGGGUGCUAAUACCGGAUAAGCCUACGGAUUCCUCGGAGUCUGCAGGAAAAGGUGGCCUCUAUUUAUAAGCUACCGUAUCAUGAUGGGUCCGCGUACCAUUAGCUAGCUGGUGGGGUAAUGGCCUACCAAGGCGACGAUGGUUAGCUGGUCUGAGAGGAUGAUCASCCACACUGGAACUGARACACGGUCCAGACUCCUACGGGAGGCAGCAGUGGGGAAUUUUGCGCAAUGGGGGAAACCCUGACGCA
rnacentral:rRNA from 1 species